UACGUAGGGUGCGAGCGGUGUCCGGAAUUAUUGGGCGUAAAGAGCUCGUAGGCGGUGUGUCACGUCGGCCGUGAAAACCUGCAGCUUAACUGUGGGCGUGCGGUCGAUACGGGCAUCACUGGAGUUCGGCAGGGGAGACUGGAAUUCCUGGUGUAGCGGUGAAAUGCGCAGAUAUCAGGAGGAACACCGGUGGCGAAGGCGGGUCUCUGGGCCGAUACUGACGCUGAGGAGCGAAAGCGUGGGGAGCAAACAGG
rnacentral:rRNA from 1 species